rnacentral:rRNA from 1 species
GACGAACGCUGGCGGCGUGCCUAAUACAUGCAAGUAGAACGCACAGUUUAUACCGUAGCUUGCUACACCAUAGACUGUGAGUUGCGAACGGGUGAGUAACGCGUAGGUAACCUGCCUGGUAGCGGGGGAUAACUAUUGGAAACGAUAGCUAAUACCGCAUAAUAUUGAUUAUUGCAUGAUAAUUGAUUGAAAGAUGCUAUUGCAUCACUACCAGAUGGACCUGCGUUGUAUUAGCUAGUAGGUGAGGUAACGACUCAACUAGGCGACGAUACAUAGCCGACAUGAGAGGGUGAUCGGCCACACUGGGACUGAGACACGGCCCAGACUCCUACGGGAGGCAGCAGUAGGGAAUCUUCGGCAAUGGACGAAAGUCUGACCGAGCAACGCCGCGUGAGUGAAGAAGGGUUUCGGAUCGUAAAGCUCUGUUGUAAGAGAAGAACGGGUGUGAGAGUGGAAAGUUCACACUGUGACGGUAUCUUAACAGAAAGGGACGGCUAACUACGUG